rnacentral:rRNA from 1 species
GGACCCGCACAAGCGGUGGAGCAUGUGGUUUAAUUCGAAGCAACGCGAAGAACCUUACCAGGUCUUGACAUCCUUUGAAGCUUUUAGAGAUAGAAGUGUUCUCUUCGGAGACAAAGUGACAGGUGGUGCAUGGUCGUCGUCAGCUCGUGUCGUGAGAUGUUGGGUUAAGUCCCGCAACGAGCGCAACCCUUAUUGUUAGUUGCCAGCAUUCAGAUGGGCACUCUAGCGAGACUGCCGGUGACAAACCGGAGGAAGGCGGGG